AAAUAUACCGAUAAAGUGUAAAGCUGAAAUUACACGACCAAUUGGAAAAUGCAUGCGUACCACUGUGCAAAGUUAUUCACGCACACAUACACGUGUACAGGUGCUGCACACAUGUUCAAAAAUGUGUGUGGGGGAACGGGAAUACUAAUGUUUCAUCUUCUCGUUUUGUUGUUGUUUUAAAAAACUUUUUGUCCACAUGAGCGUCUAUUGUUAAUUCUAAUAUAGAUAUCACACACACACACACACUUACAUAAUUGCUCGUAUGUAUUGGCACUGCUGUGGACUUAACGCACUUGAUCAUUUGUUGAUAUUCUCCGUUUAGUUGCUCAGAAUCCUGCAAUCCAGCUAACAUCGUAAGACUACUGUCUCGGGAGAUGGAGGUGGAGGUGUGAGGGUUUGGGCUAUAAUUUUUAAUAAUCGACGACACAAACAAGAAAAACAAAAAAACAAACCA